rnacentral:tRNA from 2 species
UGGGCUAUUAGCUCAGGUGGUUAGAGCGCAGUCCUGAUAAGACUGAGGUCCCUGGUUCGAGUCCAGGAUGGCCCACCCA